rnacentral:lncRNA from 1 species
CGAUCGGAUCAUGAACUCUAAUGUGUGUGACCUCAUAGAUCCGAACCUAACCCGAUAGCAUAAGAAUAAAUUUCUGUACCAAUCGAAGUGACCAUCUAGCAAUGGUACCCGACGAUCGGAUAGGUCGAAUGUGUAGAACAACAUCCUUAGAACCCAUGCGGAUAUAGUUUUCAUAUAAUUCAUCCCCUUAACCAAAAUGAUCAUAGGACACCCCAGAGUUUAACUGUCAACUCUGAUC